rnacentral:rRNA from 1 species
GAUGAACGCUGACAGAAUGCUUAACACAUGCAAGUCGAUGGGGAAGUGGUGCUUGCAUCAUGGCAACCAUGGCGGACGGGUGAGUAACGCGUAAGGGACUUACCUGCAGGACUGGGAUAACAGGGGGAAACUCCUGACAAGACCGGAUAAUGUCAUGGAGCUGCAUGGCUUUAUGAUGAAAGGAGACGCCUGCGGAGAGCCUCGCGUCCUAUUAGCUAGUUGGUGAGGUAAUGGCUCACCAAGGCGAAGAUAGGUAGCCGGCCUGAGAGGGUGGACGGCCACAAGGGGACUGAGAUACGGCCCUUACUCCUACGGGAGGCAGCAGUGGGGAAUAUUGGACAAUGGGGGCAACCCUGAUCCAGCAAUUCUGUGUGCACGAAGAAUGUUUUCGGAUUGUAAAGUGCUUUCAGCAUGGAAGAAGUAAGUGACGGUACCUGCAGAAUAAGCGACGGCUAAAUACGUG